AUCCAGCUGACGAGUCUCAAACAGGACGAAACGCAUGUCCUGGAU
rnacentral:hammerhead_ribozyme from 1 species